GGUCUAACGUCCUUGAGACUACAAGGCUUGAGCUCUCUUAAUCGUCUAAACAUCGACACGUGUCAAAGCUUAACGAGUUUGAUAGGGGGACUGCAACACCUCACUGCCUUACAAGACUUGCUCAUUUAUAAUUGUCCGGAGCUGGCAUAUUUACCAGAGGAUAUGCAACAUCUUACUUCCCUUCGAAUACUCAACAUCUGGAGCUGUGAGAAGUUGACAUGUUUGCCGGAAGGGCUACGACAUGUCACAACACUGGAAGCUCUAUCAAUCAAUGGAAUGACUCCGCCGGAGUGGAUAGGAAACCUGUCCUCGCUUCGACGUUUGGAGUUUAUAGGUUGUGAUAAAUUGACGUGUUUGCCAUCAGGGUUGCAACUCCUAACAAACCUGCAACACCUACAAAUCGGGGGUUGGCCAAGUCUAACGGCUCUGCCGGAGUGGAUUGGAAACCUCUCCUCGCUUCGAUAUUUGGAAAUUUGGAAUUGUGAUAAAUUGGAGUGUUUGCCAUCCGGGUUGCAACUCCUAACAAAUCUGGAACGUCUAACAAUCAUAAGCUGUCCCCAAUUAGAGAAGCGAUGCAAGAAGGAUAAAGGCAAGGAUUGGCACUACAUAUCACACAUCCCAUAUAUUGAAAUUGGAUAUCCCAAAUCUCGAUUCCGGAGAGAAGGCGAAUGGUGUGGACGUCUGCUGGAGUUGAAGAGGAAAUGCAUCAACGCUCUCCUUCCUACCUCUUCUUCCAAUUAACAUUUAAGCACCAUAAUUUAAUCAAGGAAUGAAAGUGGGACUCAAGCAAAUGAGAUGAAGAAGGGGCCUAGCAGCACAUGUGCUAUCCUUGUACAGUUGUAGGAGAACGUGCAAAGGGCAGCAUGGUGGUUGAACUAAAAAUCAGGCCGGCCUGCUUAUCAGGUUGCGACUUAACAAACUUUGAAUGUCUACAAAUCUCUGGCUGUCCCCAUUUAUAGAAGCGAUGCAAGAAGAAGAAAGGUGACGAUUGGCACAAGAUAGCACACAUCCCAGAUAUUCAGAUUGGAUAGCCAUCCAAUUAUAGCUUGAAUUUUUUUGAAGAAAGAACCGAGCUAUAAACUGGGCAUGCAGCUUAGGGGAGGGGAAAGGAGGAGAGAUCAGGAGGGACCCCUGAACUACUGUUGAUCUACAUGACAGUACAAAGAUGUGAGUGAGCUGCAUCAUUCUUCCAUGAAGCUUUCCUCUCCUCCCACUCAUAACAAUAAAGGCAAAAUGAACAAUGCAAAAGGUUCGGUCUGCUCCCAAAAUUCCUUUUUCCUUCAUGAUUAACUUCUUGGCCAGUCAUGUGUGAUGGAUGUAGGUUGGCCGUAGCACGCAUGCCAACUUAGGCUGAUGAUGAGCAAAAAAUAUGAUAUGAUGUUGGUGAGCCACAUCAGGCAUCCAUCUCUCUGUUCUAAUAUUAAAGGAAUGGGCCAAAAGAGGGAAGCAAUGAUUGUCCGAGGACAGCCAGCAUCCCCACAAUGGAGAAUGACCAUAGAAAGAUCUUUCCACAUUGAAGAAAGCUCUCUUGACUUGCAUUGGGAACCGGACACUUAGAAUGCCUUAGAUGAGAAGCAACAAUAGCUGGUGAAUGUCAACACCAAGGAUAGAAGCAUCUAUGAACAAGCUUAUUUGUACAUGAAAAGUUGAAUCUAUGGCAAUGCUGCCCACACCCAAUAGCUUUCUCACCUAUGGCCACAAGGAGGAGAGUACUACAUCUUGGAGGAACUAUCUCUCUGCAGAUUUAAACUCAUCGAACGUGACCUUUUUGUCCCUGUUGGCAUCCAUCCGAUUGAAAAAUCUCAUCAAGCUUCCCAAGUUCUGUUAUGUCUGCUGGAAGGCAGUCUUCUGGCAAGGCCUAUAUGGAUUUCAGUUAGAUGAUCUUUUCUACCACAUGCAAAGUAAAACUAUAGAUAAAUGCUAAGGCGAUUCGUGUGCAGGCAGACGGAAGAGGCAGAGAUUCAAGUCACAUAUGUGCGAGAUCCAAGCUGUUCAUUAGUAUAUAUUUUCUCAUUUUAUCAAAAAGGAAAAGAAAAAUAUUGCCAGAGAAUAUCUUGAGUUUUACUAAUUAACUCAGGAGAAUACUCGGAUCAUUAGCUUGUAAAAGUGGUGUCCAUGGCUUAGUUAUCCGAAAUGAUUUGUUUAUUGAGCCCCACCAUGGAAGGAUCCUUCAAGAUCUUGACUAGUUAUAGGGAAACUUCUUUUUUUUUCCCAUAUAGAAGUUUUUAGUAUCAACCAAUCCUCUAUCUACCCAUACUUCAUUAGUGUUCAGGGUUUCCUUUCAUUUUGAUUAUU